UACGAAGGGGGGCUAGCGUUGCUCGGAAUCACUGGGCGUAAAGCGCACGUAGGCGGCUUUCUAAGUCAGGGGUGAAAUCCUGGAGCUCAACUCCAGAACUGCCCUUGAUACUGGAAAGCUUGAGUUCGGGAGAGGUGAGUGGAACUGCGAGUGUAGAGGUGAAAUUCGUAGAUAUUCGCAAGAACACCAGUGGCGAAGGCGGCUCACUGGCCCGAUACUGACGCUGAGGCGCGAAAGCGUGGGGAGCGAACAGG
rnacentral:rRNA from 1 species